rnacentral:rRNA from 1 species
UAAGGAAUAUUGGACAAUGGUCGCAAGACUGAUCCAGCCAUGCCGCGUGCAGGAAGACGGCCCUAUGGGUUGUAAACUGCUUUUGUACCAGAGAAAACCUAUCUACGUGUAGAUAGCUGAUAGUAUGGUAAGAAUAAGCAUCGGCUAACUUCGUGCCAGCAGCCGCGGUAAGACGAAGGAUGCAAGCGUUAUCCGGAUUCAUUGGGUUUAAAGGGUGCGUAGGCGGGCUUGUAAGUCAGUGGUGAAAUCUCUCAGCUUAACUGAGAAACUGCCAUUGAUACUGCAGGCCUAGAGUAUAGAUGACNUUGGCGGAAUAUGACAUGUAGUGGUGAAAUACUUAGAUAUGUCAUAGAACACCGAUUGCGAAGGCAGCUAACGAAACUAUAACUGACGCAGAGGCACGAAAGUGCGGGGAUCAAACA